GGCGCUAUCCCUCCUGAGCUGAGAAUGAAGGCAAGGGUGGGGGGAGGGCGUGGGGCGUGCCGGGCGGCGCCUUGUUAACGGGGUGUUAAGCACCAACGGGCGCCCCGGUGGCCUCAGAUGUCCGCCAUGGCUCCGUAGGGUGUGAUGAGUGCUUUACCCAGCACUCAUCCUCUACGCAGCCCACCUACCCUUGUGACACGGGCGAAGCGCUUAUCAGCGCAGCCCGUGUCAAUUGUAUAUCACUCCUGAGCUA
rnacentral:siRNA from 1 species